GACGAACGCUGGCGGCGUGCUUAACACAUGCAAGUCGAACGGAAAGGCCCUGCUUUUGUGGGGUUCUCGAUUGGCGAACGGGUGAGUAACACGUGAGUAACCUGCCCUUGACUUUGGGAUAACUUCAGGAAACUGGGGCUCAUACCGGAUAGGAGCUCCUGCUGCAUGGUGGUGGUUGGAAAGUUUCGGCGGUUGGGGAUGGACUCGCGGCUUAUCAGCUUGUUGGUGGGGUAGUGGCUUACCAAGGCUUUGACGGGUAGCCGGCCUGAGAGGGUGACCGGCCACAUUAGGACUGAGAUACGGCCCAGACUCCUACGGGAGGCAGCAGUGGGGAAUAUUGCAGAAUGGGCGGAAGCCUGAUGCAGAAACGCCGCGUGCGGGAUGACGGCCUUCGGGUUGUAAACCGAUUUCGCCUGUGACGAAGCGUGAGUGACGGUAAUGGGUAAAGAAGCACCGGCUAACUACGUG
rnacentral:rRNA from 1 species